rnacentral:lncRNA from 10 species
AUAGUGCGCAUGCUUGAGCCCACUUACCUAACACCUGAGAUCUUAUUGGGACGCUGCUGAUAACCAGUUUCAGAGACAGGGUUUCACCAUGUUGUACAGGCUAGUCUCCAACCCCUGGGCUUAAGCAAUCCUUCUGCCUCGGCCUCCCAAAGUGCUGGGAUUACAGAGAUGCUCAAGCACUGAAUUGUCUUAAGAAAACAAGUAAGGUUUUGUCACCUAUCCUAUUUCUCACUGCAAGUUGAAAAAAAUCAAAUCCAAACACCACCACCCCUUCUAUGACAACAAACGGCUGUGGAGGUAAAUGACUAUGUGGGCAAAGAGUUGAUGAAAAUCAUGAGCUUAGGGGCUUUAUGAAACUUUGGGAAAUCAAACUCAGAGGUUGUUUUCCAUUCUUAAAGUAAUGAAGCUCUAAGUUAAAGUUUCAGAAUCAUCACAUAACUGUUCCUAUUCCAUAACUCAUUUCUUUUUUUUUUUUGCAGGUAAUCUUAUUUUCCUAAGGGUAGUUUCAUGAUGACAGUGUCAAAAAAUUACUGUGGAUAAAGAAAAAAUUGUCUCAAUGAAAUAGAAUUUUUCACUGAACACAGAAACCAUCUCAAUAGUUGCUGCUCCCUGGUUUCCAGGCCACGCAACAGACAUCAAACCAGGAAGCCAAACUUUCAUGGACCUGU